GACGAACGCUGGCGGCGUGCCUAACACAUGCAAGUCGAGCGGAGAUAAUAGCAAUAUUAUCUUAGCGGCGGACGGGUGAGUAACGCGUGGGCAACCUGCCUAUCACAGGGGGAUAACACAGGGAAACUUGUGCUAAUACCGCAUAACACAUCGAGGUAGCAUUACCUUGCUGUCAAAGGAGCAAUCCGGUGAUAGAUGGGCCCGCGUCCAAUUAGCUAGUUGGUGAUGUAACGGACCACCAAGGCGACGAUUGGUAGCCGAACUGAGAGGUUGAUCGGCCACAUUGGGACUGAGACACGGCCCAGACUCCUACGGGAGGCAGCAGUGGGGAAUAUUGCACAAUGGGGGAAACCCUGAUGCAGCAACGCCGCGUGAAGGAUGAAGGUUUUCGGAUUGUAAACUUCUUUAGUCAGGGACGAAUAAAUGACGGUACCUGAAGAAUAAGCCACGGCUAACUACGUGCCAGCCGCCGCGGUAAGAC
rnacentral:rRNA from 1 species